rnacentral:rRNA from 1 species
GAGUUUGAUCUUGGCUCAGAAUGAACGCUAGCGGGAGGCCUAACACAUGCAAGCCGAGCGGUAUGAUUCUUUCGGGAAUCAGAGAGCGGCGUACGGGUGCGGAACACGUGUGCAACCUGCCUUUAUCUGGGGGAUAGCCUUUCGAAAGGAAGAUUAAUACCCCAUAAUAUAUUGAAUGGCAUCAUUUGAUAUUGAAAACUCCGGUGGAUAAAGAUGGGCACGCGCAAGAUUAGAUAGUUGGUGGGGUAACGGCCUACCAAGUCAGUGAUCUUUAGGGGGCCUGAGAGGGUGAUCCCCCACACUGGUACUGAGACACGGACCAGACUCCUACGGGAGGCAGCAGUGAGGAAUAUUGGACAAUGGGUGCAAGCCUGAUCCAGCCAUCCCGCGUGAAGGACGACGGCCCUAUGGGUUGUAAACUUCUUUUGUAUAGGGAUAAACCUAGAUACGUGUAUCUAGCUGAAGGUACUAUACGAAUAAGCACCGGCUAACUCCGUGCCAGCAGCCGCAGUAAC